rnacentral:siRNA from 1 species
GGAAGGGCACCACCAGGAGUGG